AUGGGCACCAGGCUCCUUUGCUGGGUGACCGUCUGUCUCCUGGGGGCAGAUGAGUCUAAGAGUGGAGUUACCCAGACCCCCAGACAUAAGGUCAUAGAAAAGAAUCAGGCCAUGGCUUUGUGUUGCAAUCCCAUUUCUGGCCACCAAACCCUUUGCUGGUACCAGCAGACCCCAGGACAGGGCCUAAAGCUUCUGGUUCGCUUUGAGAAUGAAGAUGCAAUGGAUGAUUCACAGCUGCCUAAGAAUCGAUUUUCUGCAGAGAGGCCCAAAAGAGCAGACUCCACUCUCAAGAUGCAGCGUGCAGAGCUGGGCGACUCGGCUGAGUAUUUCUGUGCCAGCAGCUUUAACUCGCCCCUCUACUUUGGGGUCGGCACCAGGCUCACCGUGACAGACAACCUGAACAAGGUGAAACCACCCAAGGUCACUGUGUUUGAACCAUCCGAAGCAGAGAUCGCCCGGACACAGAAGGCCACGCUUGUGUGCCUGGCCACAGGCUUCUACCCCGACCACGUGGAGCUGAGCUGGUGGGUGAAUGGGAAGGAGAUCCAGAGUGGGGUCAGCACAGACCCUCAGCCCUACAAGGAGCAGCGCAACCACAGUGACCCCACCUACUGUCUGAGCAGCCGGCUGAGGGUCUCUGCCACCUUCUGGCACAAUCCUCGCAACCACUUCCGCUGCCAAGUCCAGUUCUUUGGGCUAGAGGAAGGAGACAAGAAGAAUUGGGAGGACACCCGCCCCAUACCCAUCACCCAGAAUGUCAGUGCUGAGGUCUGGGGCAGAGCAGAUUGUGGCUUCACCUCAAGUUCCUACCAGCAAGGGGUCCUGUCUGCCACCAUCCUCUAUGAGAUACUGCUGGGGAAGGCCACUGUGUAUGCGGUGCUGGUCAGUGCCUUGGUGCUGAUGGCCAUGGUCAAGAGAAAGAAUUCCUGACACCAGCUCAGAGGUGCAGCCAGGAACUUCCAGCCUAUCUCCCCAAUAUGGAUUCCCCUUUUUCCAUUCCUAGCCAGUGCUUUUGAAGAGCUGUCUCAAUCUCUCAAUUCAUUCUGAUAUCCACCCGCUAUCUACUUGCAUAGCUGAACACUCAUGACUAAAAUCUCCCUAACCCCAGGAGACUCUGGUGUGCCUACAUUGACUGAACCAAUAAAAAUGGCCUGUUCUGGCUUGAU